CAGACGCCCCAGAUUGAACCAAUAAUUCAAAAAACUUGAGAAUCCUACCAUAAAAAAUUCAAACCCUAUUUCAGACCGUUGAAGAAUCAAAAUCCCAAAUCUCUCUCACCACAUUCUCCCAUUUCUCUCUCCCGAAUUCAUCACUCCAUUUCUGCAAAUCUUCUUCUCCUCAUACUACUUCUUCAUCUUCACAGAUUUCACAGUUGCUGAUAUACUCACAAUGGACGUUCGAACCCUAGAAAAGCUAUGCGACAAUUUUGAUCAAGCAGUCACCAUUUCUGGGGACAAUUUGAAGGAUUCACCCAUUCCAAAUGGGGUUAAAGUCGACAGAAUUUCUGAGUCAGCGGAUGAGAGUAAUGGUUCACAUUCUACUGCAGAAGUAUGUUCAUCUCAAGAGCAUACUCUUCCAAUUCUUACAAAGAUUGAAGAUCUUAGAAACAAAGUGCUCGACUUGAGGAAAGAACAGGCAGCAUUACGUAAUGAAGUCAAGAGCAUGAGUGUGGACUCUUUUCCUGGUUCUGAAGCCUCUAACACUCUUCAGCACAUGAGUGUCCAACAUGAACUUCUAAAAAAGAAGUAUGAUGAAGAGUGUGAACUACUGAAGAAGAAGUAUCUGGAGGAGUGUACUGAAAGAAAACGUCUAUACAAUGAAGUGAUCGAGCUCAAAGGAAAUAUCAGGGUCUUCUGUAGAUGUAGACCUUUAAAUUCAGAUGAAAUUGCAAAUGGAUCAACAUCUGUGGUCGAAUUUGAUCCAUCUCAUGAAAAUGAACUGCAGAUCUGUGCAGGUUCCUCUAAAAAGCAGUUUAAGUUUGAUUAUGUGUUCAAACCUGAGGACAACCAAGAUGCCGUCUUUGCUCAAACUAUGCCCAUUGUGACCUCUGUUUUGGAUGGAUAUAAUGUCUGCAUAUUUGCCUAUGGACAAACUGGGACGGGGAAGACGUUCACCAUGGAGGGGACACCAGAAAAUAGAGGAGUCAACUACCGGACUUUAGAGAAGCUAUUUAGCAUAUCUAGUGAGAGAAGCAGUAUCAUGAAAUAUGAGUUGUCCGUCAGCAUGUUAGAGGUUUAUAAUGAGAAGAUAAGAGACCUCCUGGUAGAGAACUCAAACCAACCAGCUAAGAAGUUGGAGAUUAAACAAUCGGCAGAGGGAACUCAGGAAGUUCCAGGACUUGUGGAAGCUCGUGUAUAUGGUACAGAUGAAGUAUGGGAAACUUGUCAAAGUCCGGGAAGCCGGGCUAGGAUCUGUUGGAUCAACUAGUGCUAACGAGCUUAGCAGCCGUUCUCACUGCUUACUGCGGGUGACUGUUGUGGGGGACAACUUGAUUAACGGCCAGAGGACUAGGAGCCACCUUUGGCUUGUUGACCUCGCUGGCAGUGAGCGCGUGGGACGGAUAGCAGUUGAAGGUGAGAGGUUGAAGGAGUCACAGUUCAUAAACAAGUCAUUGUCUGCACUUGGGGAUGUCAUUUCUGCACUAGCCUCUAAGACAGCUCACGUUCCAUACAGGAAUUCAAAGCUCACUCAUAUGCUGCAGAGUUCUCUGGGAGGAGAUUGCAAGGCGGUCAUGUUUGUCCAAAUCAGCCCUAGUACAACAGAUUUGGGAGAAACUCUAUGCUCUUUGAAUUUUGCAAGUCGAGUCCGAGGAGUUGAACAUGGCCCUGCUCGCAAACAGACAGACCUUGUAGAGCUCAUGAAGCAUAAACUACUGGCAGAAAAAGCCAAGCAAGAUGAAAAGGAAACCAAAAAAUUGCAGGACAAUUUGCAGUUUCUGCAGCUGAAACUUGCUAACAGAGAACAGACAUGUAGAAAUCUUCAGGACAAGGUUCGUGAUCUUGAAAACCAAUUGGCAGACGAGAGGAGAACACGUCUAAAACAAGAAAGCAACGCUUUCCCUGGAGUUUCUAGAGAGUUCGCUACCAUAUCAGCUUUAAGCCAAUCACCGAAGAUCAUAACAGAGAAGAAACCACCACUGGCUCCUUCAAAAGCACUGAGAUUGCCACUACGAACUAGCAAUUUUUUGCCCCCGCCAUCCCCUCUUCCUCGUCCAGCAAAAGCUAGGAAGUCAUUUGUGCCAUCACGUGGCAAGGAAAAUUUGGCAAGCACAUCAACGACAACUGCAAUUCUGAAACCAAGGCGAGGAUCUAUUGCUGUAGUUAGACCAUCACCUCAAGGAACAAAGCAGGUUUUGCAGCCCAAAAGGCGGGCUUCUAUUGCAACCCUUCGCCCCGAGUCUAACAUAUCAACUUUCAAUGGCUCUGCUGCUCGACCAAGGAAUAAGCGUCUCGGUCGGAAAUCAUUUGUCUGGGAUACACAAAGAAUGUGGCAGACUUCAAGAGUGCUUUCUCCAAUUGCUCAAGAAAAGGAAACCUCAUUCGCCACACCCAGAGAGGCAACCCCUGGUUCAAAACAAAGCAGUAAAUUCAUGAGAAGUCCUCCUUCACAAGCAGGUUCAUGGAGGCCCAAGCAUCCAACAGUUCUUGCUAUAAAGAAGCAAAUCGUGUGGAGUCCUCUGAAGAUGAAGGCCAUGAGAAGUAGGCAAUAGGCAACAAGUCUCUUAAGAUGAAGGCCUGAGAAGUAGGCAAUAGGAUGUCUAUGUGUUUUGAAUGAUGUUAGAAAGUUCAUACUAUUCCAGGAUGAGUACAGAUUUCUUUCUGUUCUUUCCCCUCCCUGAUUUUAUUUGCACAGUGUAUGCCUCUUGCUUACUUUUAGUAGGGGAAAACUUUAGCCAUGAGAUUUGCUCAUCCAUUGUGUGCUUUUUUGAUAUGUGCGUGAUAAGCUACUAUACUCGAUUUGUAGCUCC